rnacentral:tRNA from 1 species
GGUAAGAUGGCAGAGUGGUCGAAUGCGGUUGACUCGAAAUCAAUUGUGCCCGUUAGGGUACCUGGGGUUCGAAUCCCUAUCUUACCGCCA